UUUUUAAGGAUUUUCUUUAUUUAUUCAUGAGAGAUUCAGAGAGAGAAGCAGAGACGAAGCAGAAGGAGAAGCAGGCUCCCUUCGGGGAGACUGAUGCAGGACCUGAUCCCAAGACCCCGGGAUUACCCCCUGAGCUGAAUGCAGGUGCUCAACCACUGAGCCAUCCAGGUCAGAUAAGAUACUUCUUGUUGAAUAUACCUAGCCAGUAUGUGUAGUGGUAAGCAUCCAAGUAUGGGAAAAUGACCGCCUAUGUUUAAAUCACAGACCAGCUGCUGAAUAGCUAUGCAGUCCUGAACAAGUUCCUUAACUCUAUGCAUCAAUUUCCUCAUUGUAAAAGUGGCAAUAAUAAUUGUACAUAUCUCACAGGAUUAUUUAAAGAAUUAAAUGGAGAGUCUUACAGUGCGUUACAGAAGUGCCUGGAAGGGCAAGCGUAAUAAGCAACAGGCAUUAUUAGUAUCAAAAAUACUCAGCAGAGAGGGUAAACCAAUGGCAUGUGUACUGCCACAGCCUAAGGACACACUCUACUACCGACCUCUGAGAUAGGCUCUGAAUCAUUCUGACACAAUCUUAAACAUAGCACUUCAUCCAGCCACUGUCAUUUGACCCAGAGGAAACCUACAAUCUCCAGGCAGGAACAGCGAGAAAUAGGGCUCACUCGAGAGCACACCCUAAAAACGCAUUAAGCAAAUAGUCCUCAGAGGGAUUUUGUGGUGGCUUCUAUGUUGUGGGAGGCGAGGCUCUAUUUGGCAGGCUGUCAGGAGCAGAAGUCCUGUUUCAGGGGGAGAUUUGUGUGCAUAGGUUUAAACUUUGACACCAAUCAUGUCCAAUGCCUCCCUUGGAUAAGACUGCAACUGAUCUUCUGCAGAGGUUUUAUCUGCAAAAUGAUCCCCUGCACUUUAUAUCUUCCAUCUCACUUCCUGACACAAAGCUUAUUUUAAGUCAGAUGUGAAAAAACAGGCACCAGAGCCUUAAACAAGUCAAGACAGGCCUCAUGAGAUUUAGGCUCAACCCAUAAGAUCUGAGAAGGAUGCAUGAGUUAAAUAUACUCAUCAGCUGAAGUUCUCUUAGCAUUUUUUUUCAUAUCAGUAAUAGGGCUCUGUGUGAGUGAUGGAGAAUUCAUGCAAUUUUUUAAAGAACAAAAUAUUAAUAGGUGAGAAAGAUACAUAGGCAAAUAAUGUAGUAAAUAAUAAAAACAGGAUAGGAUUGGUGUUACACUAAUCUUCAAAUAGAUAUGAAUUUGAAUUCUCCAUCACUCACUCAAAAUUGCUAUAAGUUCUAUAAGUGGUAAAUGGCAGGAUGGAGUCUAGAAAUAAGUGUCCCUGGCUUCUUUCUACUCCAGUGUCCCUGCUCAACAGCACCUAAUAAUAAUUUGAUAUCAUGGAUUUACAUUAACACUAUCUUGUGCUGCAAACACGAAUUGCUCUAACGUAAAUGAUCUCACUUUUCAUGAAAUGGCCAUGGUUUUUCUGGUUUGGUUUGCUGGGUGUGAGUAUCUGCGCACAAUCGCCGUGUGACUGCUUUUGUGAGGCAUCCACACUCACCAGCAGUGAUAAGGAAGAGUGGUAGGAUAAUCAGGAGUGUAUGGAAGGAGAAAUGGUAAAUUUUAGAAAUGGCCAAUAGAUAUACAAUUUUUGCCACCUACGGGUUUUUCGAAGUUAUUUGUAUUCCUGGUGUAAAUUCUUUACAACUAAGUGAAGAAAUGAACAAAUGCUCAAGGAAAAGCCUGAUAAUUCAGCAAUAUCAGGGACAGAGCCACAGAAAAAGAAUGCUAUAACACUCAUCAUAAAUGACAAAAGAAAUGUUUGCCUUAGCAUUGAAUUUUUCAGAUGUGAUAACACAAUUUCAAAAUGCCAAUAUUAACUUAAAUAGAAGCAAGGAAUAAUUAGUGGGGGGAAAAUCAAUACACUGCUUGCUUGUGCUACUCCACAGUGAGUAAGUAUUGGUUCUGAAAUCAAAGUUCUUUCUAUGGAAGAGCUGUCAGGAGAAAAGUUAAAAUUAGAAGAGCUGUCUGAGGACUGAGCAAGAGAAAGAAAUAUCACGCAGGUAGAUUCAAAGUAUUUAAAUAGAGUUCAAGGUAGGGAGCCUUCAUCCUUGCUUUUCCACAGGAAAAAAAAAACUUCUUAACAGAAACUCUCAUUUCCACUUUAUUACAAUGUGGGAAGUAAAUCAAUGAAUUGAGUGAUGUGAAAGCAACAGUCAGGCAUGUGGACAAAGAGUCAUCUUAGGGAAAGGACAUGUUGGAAAGCUCACAUACAGAGAAUAAUUUAUUAUUUGCUGGUCUCUGGUAGAGAUGCAUUCUAAAUGUGAAAAUUGACUUGCGUUCUGAUAAAAAUAUUGUUUUUCUUGUCUGGGACCACAAACAACUACAAUUUUGUUUGUUUUCUCCUCUCACGGCACUAACUAUUUUGACAUGGUAUAUAUUACAUACCAAAUGGAACAUAAUGCACCAAAUAUAAUCAU
rnacentral:lncRNA from 1 species